rnacentral:rRNA from 1 species
UACGGGGGGGGGCAAGCGUUGUUCGGAAUUACUGGGCGUAAAGGGCGCGUAGGCGGUCAGAUAAGUCAGCUGUGAAAACCUCGGGCUUAACCCGAGGCCUGCAGUUGAAACUGUUUGGCUGGAGUGUGGGAGAGGAGAGUGGAAUUCCCGGUGUAGCGGUGAAAUGCGUAGAUAUCGGGGAGGAACACCGGUGGCGAAGGCGGCUCUCUGGACCACUACUGACGCUGAGGCGCGAAAGCUAGGGGAGCAAACAGG